UACGAAGGGUGCAAGCGUUACUCGGAAUUACUGGGCGUAAAGCGUGCGUAGGUGGUUGUUUAAGUCUGUUGUGAAAGCCCUGGGCUCAACCUGGGAAUUGCAGUGGAUACUGGGCGACUAGGGUGUGGUAGAGGGUAGUGGAAUUCCCGGUGUAGCAGUGAAAUGCGUAGAGAUCGGGAGGAACAUCCAUGGCGAAGGCAGCUACCUGGACCAACACUGACACUGAGGCACGAAAGCGUGGGGAGCAAACAGG
rnacentral:rRNA from 1 species